rnacentral:rRNA from 1 species
UACGUAGGGCGCAAGCGUUAUCCGGAAUUAUUGGGCGUAAAGAGCUCGUAGGCGGUUUGUCGCGUCUGCCGUGAAAGUCCGGGGCUCAACUCCGGGAUCUGCGGUGGGUACGGGCAGACUAGAGUGAUGUAGGGGAGACUGGAAUUCCUGGUGUAGCGGUGAAAUGCGCAGAUAUCAGGAGGAACACCGAUGGCGAAGGCAGGUCUCUGGGCAUUAACUGACGCUGAGGAGCGAAAGCAUGGGGAGCGAACAGG